rnacentral:lncRNA from 1 species
UUGUUAGAGGGCUCUUAAGUCAUCCUUUCUCCUUCUGAACUAGCCGUUGCUCAUCUGCUCACGUCUGUGGCUGCAGCAGUUAAUGCCAGUUUCAGGUCUCGCUUUGUCACCCAGGCUGGAGCGCAGUGGUUUGAUCUCAGCUCACUGCAGCCUCGACUUCCCCAGGCUCAGAUAAGGAGACCAAGGUGUGAAGAGGAAAGGUGAAUACUAAGGUGGAGCCAGGCCUGCAACCCAGGUCUCCUAUCUCCUGGCCCAGGCUUUUGCCUCCUGCCACGUUGCCUACUGUGAGCAGUUGGGUCCCGAGGAAAGAGAAAAGCAGAGAGGAGUGUGAGUGCAUAAGCCUGAAGAUAGAGGGUACAGUGGUUCAUUGAGAGAUUUUGGAGUCAGCAGAUCUGAUCUUACACUUACCUGUUAUGAAGAUUUUGACAAGUAAUUUCAUCUUCUCAGAGCCUAACUUCCCAGCUAUAACAUAAGAAAAAGAGGACCUUCUUAUAGUAGACACAGACCCACAGGAGCAGAGUGGUACCUGACCUGGCACAGAGUAGGCGCUCGGAAUCCUGUGUCCAGUGACUUGAAUGUCCAUCAGACUGGAUGUUAGAGCUGUGGGGAUGUGGCACUCACCCUGGAACUACUACUAGUUGCUAUGCAGCCCAUUCCCAUCUCUGUGAACAACCUGAAAUGUCCACCUUCCUUCAAUCUAAAAAUUCUACUCAUCCAUCAAGGAGCUCAAUGCCCUGAGUAUGUGAGGAGAGGGCUGCUUUGGAGUUGGACAGACUUGAGUUCAAGUCCUGGCUCUUCCAUGUGGUACUCAUGUGACGUAGGCCAAGUCAUAUAACUUGAGCUUCAGUUUCCAUAAAAUGGCAAACACAUGGUGCUCAUUA